CCUGGUUGAUCCUGCCAGCAAUCAUAUGCUUGUCUCAAAGAUUAAGCCAUGCAUGUCUAAGUAUGAACAAAUUCAGACUGUGAAACUGCGGAUGGCUCAUUAAAUCAGUUAUAGUUUUUGUAUGGUACCAUAAUACUUGGAUAACUAUAGUAAUUCUAGAGCUAAUACGUGCACCAAGUCCUGACUCUUUGGAAGGGAUGCAUUUUUUAGAUAAAAGGCUAUCGCAGGUUUGCCCGCUUCUCCGGUGAAUCAUGAUAACUCGACAGAUCACACAACCCUUGUGCUAGCGAUGCUUCAUUUAAAUUUCUGCCCUAUCAACUUUCAAUGGUAGGAUAGAGGCCUACCAUGGUGAUGACAGGUGACAAAGAAUUAGGGUUUUAUUCUAGAGAGGGAGCCUGAGAAACGGCUACCACAUCCAAGGAAGGUAGCAGGCAUGCAAAUUACCCAAUCCUGACAUGGGGAGGUAGUGACAAUAAAUAAAAAUACUGGGUUCAUCGAGUUUGGUAACUGGAAUGAGUACAAUAUAAAUCCCUUAACGAGGAUCCACUGGAGGGGAAGUCUGGUGCUAGUAGCCAUGGUAAUUCCAGCUCCAAUAGCUUAUAUUUAAGUUGUUGCAGUUAAAAAGCUUGUAGUUGGAUCUUGGGUCAUAAAGGUCAGUCUGCCUACUCGGUGUGCACCUGCCCUUCCGUCCCUUUUGUCAGCGGCAUGCUCCUAGCCUUAAUUGGCUGGGUCGCGGCUCCGGCACUGUUACUUUGAAAAAAUUAGAGUUCUCAAAGCAAGCUUAUGCUCUGAAUACAUUAGCAUGGAAUAACGUGAUAGGAGUCUGGUCCUAUUGUGUUGGCCUUCGAGACUGGAGUAAUGAUUAAUAGGGAAAGACGGACCAUUGUGAAAGCAUUUUCCAAGGAUGUUUUCAUUAAUCAAGAAUGAAAGUUGGGAGCUCGAAGACGAUCACAUACCGUCCUAGUAUCAACCAUACACGAUGUUGAACAAGGAUCGGCGGAUGUUGCUCUAAGGACUCUGCCAGCACCUUCUGAGAAAUCAGAGUGUUUGGGUUCCAGGGGGAGUAUGGUUGCAAGGCGGAAAAUUAAAGGAAUUGAUGGAAGGGCACCACGAGUGGAGCCUACGGCUUAAUUUUACUCAACACGGGGAAACUUACCAGGUCUAGACAUAGUAAGGAUUGACAGAUUGAGAGAUCUUUAUUGAUUUUAUGGGUGGUGGUGCAUGGUCGUUCUUAGUUGGUGGAGCGAUUUGUCUGGUUAAUUCCAAUAACGAACGAGACCUCAGCCAGCUAACUAGCUACGUGGAGGUUCCCCUUCGCGGCCAACUUCUUAGAAGGACUAUGGUAGUUUAGGCCAUGGAAGUUUGAGGCAAUAACAGGUUUGUGACGACCUUAGAUGUUCUGGGCCACACACGUGCUACACUGAUGCAGCCAACGAGUUUUUCUUCCUGGUUCGAGAGGAUUGGGAAAUCUUCUCAAAUUGCAUCAUCGUGGGGAUAGACCAUUACAAUUAUUGGUCUUCAACGAAGAAUUCCUAGUAAGCAUGUGUCAUCAACUCGUGUUGACUACGUCCCUGCACUUUGUACACACCGCCUAUUGCUCCUACUAAUUGAAUGAUCUGGUGAAGUGUUCGGAUUGUGUCAACGAUGGUGGUUCACCGCCAUCGACAUCGUGAGAAGUUCAUUGAACCUUAUCAUUUAGAGGAAGGAGAAGUCGUAACAAGGUUACCAUUGGUGAAACUGCAGUAG
rnacentral:rRNA from 1 species